CAGUCGCCGCGGUAGGACAGAGGAUGCAAGCGUUAUCCGGAAUGAUUGGGCGUAAAGCGUCUGUAGGUGGCUUUUCAAGUCCGCCGUCAAAUCCCAGGGCUCAACCCUGGACAGGCGGUGGAAACUACCAAGCUGGAGUACGGUAGGGGCAGAGGGAACUUCCGGUGGAGCGGUGAAAUGCGUUGAGAUCGGAGAGAACACCAACGGCGAAAGCACUCUGCUGGGCCGACACUGACACUGAGAGACGAAAGCUAGGGGAGCAAAUGGGAUUAGAUACCCGCGUAGUCCCUGUCUCUUAUAC
rnacentral:rRNA from 1 species